GGGUGCCAUCAUACCAGCGUUAAUGCACUAGAUCCCAUCAGAACUCCGCAGUUAAGCGCACUUGGGCUAGAGUAGUACUGGGAUGGGUGACCUCCCGAGAAGUCCUAGUGUUGCACCCU
rnacentral:rRNA from 1 species